rnacentral:rRNA from 1 species
AUACGGAGGGUGCAAGCGUUAAUCGGAAUUACUGGGCGUAAAGAGUACGUAGGCGGCCUACUAAGUCAGAUGUGAAAGCCCAGGGCUCAACCUUGGAACUGCAUUUGAAACUGGUAGGCUAGAGUAUGGUAGAGGGGGGUAGAAUUUCUGGUGUAGCGGUGAAAUGCGUAGAUAUCAGAAGGAAUACCAGUGGCGAAGGCGGCCCCCUGGCCCAAUACUGACGCUGAGGUACGAAAGCGUGGGUAGCGAACGGGAUUAGAUACCCGUGUAGUCC